AGGGUGGGAGCCCAGGCUGGGGUCCGAAUCAGCCCUUGUCCUUCCUGCCCACUUGCCUUCCCCUCCCAGGGCCCUCUGGGCUGUGGUCCCGGGCUGAGCCCAUUUAUAUGUUGUUUCAGGCCUACGUGACGUUCAAGGAUGUGGCCGUGGACUUCACCUGGGAGGAGUGGAGGCUCCUGGACCCUCCCCAGAAGGAGCUGUUCUGGGAGGUGAUGCUGGAGAACUACAGGAACCUGGUCUGCCUGGGCCUUGCUGAUUCAAACAAGGAUGUGAGGAUCUCUGAGCUGGAGUCAGGGGAACCACAUUGGAUUCCAACUGGUGGUGUCCUAAGAAGCUGCUGGCCAGGUUGGGAAUUGAGGCUGCAGACCAAGGAGUCAGCUCCCAAGAUGCAUAUUUUUAUGAAAGUAUUAACCCAGGAAAAGUCCUUGGAGGAUGAUCCAAGGAUCUACAGGAUGGAGAAAGCCUGGGAGUGUGAUGGCAGAUUGAAGAGAAAGCAGAGAAUGGAGGGGAAACCUUCUAGAGGAAUAAAAAUAAUCCAAGCAGAAUCUCCCAAUGAGGCUGGAGGCUCUGCAUAUGAUAAAUACAGUCAGACCUCUAGCCCAGAACCAGGACUUUUUCCACAACAGGGAGCAUCUGUAGUUAUGCAGGGCCAGAAAGGAGAUAACCAGAGAGGGAGUUCCACCAUGUAUUUGAACCAAGGACAAAGUGAUCAAAUCCAUUCCAGGAAGAAACGUCGUAAUAAGGUUACAAAAUGUCAGAAAGUGCUGGGCCAUGAUUUGGGCUGCAUAAAAAACGUGGAAUUCUUUCUGAAGAGACAGUUCAUGAAAGGGGGAAUUCAUUCCCUCGUAUUAAUGAAUUUGGUCCACACCAGACAACUGAUAGGGGGAAAAAGUGUAAUGAACUAACUAAAUGGAGGAAGACAGUUUGUGCUGAACUUUACUCUCGUUGUCAGAGUAGAGAGAGACGGUACAAAUGCAGUGAAUGUGGAAAGGCCUUCCAGGAAAAGGGGGCUCUUAAAGCACAUUACAGAAUUCAUACUGGAGAGAAACCUUUCAAAUGCAGUGAAUGUGGGAAAGCCUUUUCCAGGGCUGGAACACUAAAACGACAUCAGAGAUCUCAUACUGGAGAGAAACCCUUUGAAUGCAGUGAAUGUGGGAAGACAUUCCGGUCAAGCUCUCACCUUUCAGGACACCGGAAAAGUACUCAUGAAGGAAUAAGACUUCAUGAAUGCAAUGUAUGUGGGAAAGCAUUUUCUGGGAAGUAUGAUCUUAGUAAUCACAGUAGAAUUCAUACUGGAGAGAGACCUUUCAAAUGCAACCUUUGUGGGGAAGGUUUUCUCUGGAGAAGCUUACUGACCCUACACCAGACAAUUCACAGUGGAGAGAUGAGAGAGACUAGCUCUACCAAGUAAUUGAAGGGACCCCAGGACAGGUUGGGGGAGAUGAGAAAAUAGGUUUGGGGUUCAGGAUGGCCAGAGAUAAGCUGGUACCUAAUAAAGGCAAAGUUUAUUGAUUAUGCUUUCCAUUAUAUAGAGAGUCUGAAACAGGCUAAGGUCUUGGGUGAGCUUCUUAUAUUCUCAGUGGAAGGUAAUGAUGUACAAGUUUGGUACAAAGGGUUUGAUUAACCUCACUGAAUGUAGACAGUUUUCUAUAGGCUGAUAAAUCAAUGUCAAUAUGUAACUACCUACCUGAGAUUGCCAGAGAAUGCUUGCAUCAGUAGUUUUUGGAAGAACAUGCUGUUACAGCAGGAGGGGUGGAAAAGGAGGGGUUUGAAGCCUCAGUCUACAUGUCUAACUUUAGCUGAGCUAUGGCUUCAGUUUUACUGAGGGUCUGCUUCGUCCUGAGCUUUGCUUUUAAGGUCUCGGGUUUUUUGCCUCCUACAUCUCUCUUUUUACCUAAAUUAGACAGGAGGAUAAACUGAAUAAAUGCUUGAUUACGUUUUUGCUUUCUGAGGUGGAAGCAGGGUAUAGACAUUUGGGUCUGAAUACCAGGGACCAGGAGUAUGUACUGAAAGAAUGACAAGGAAUAGGGUUGUGGAGGGGGAAUGAUAUCAGUUACAGAUGCAAUGGGUGGGGAUCCUUGGAGUUGUUGGACUGGGGUAAAACAAAGGGUGAGGCAGCCACUUAUUAACAUAAAAUUGGGAAAAUGUUUUAUGGAGAAGUGGCUUAGUUAAGAUUCAUCAGUCUUGGGAGGCUUGCCAACUCCAGGAAUUGUUCUGACAUAUGCACUAUUCUUAUGGCUUGUCCCCAAGUCAUGGGUUCUGUGACUUGGGUCCUCAGGGUGGUCAUUUGUGUUCUUCAUACUCCAUUGUUCACAAAGGUCCUCUGUCACAUAUGUCUGUUGCUUCUGGCUUGAUGACUUGGUGUGGAUCCAGUAUUAGGAAAAACCUCAACCCCCAUGUUAUAUAAUUCUAUAAAAAACUGAUAGUUCUGGGAUUUGGUGAUGUUCCUUUCAAACCCAGUGUGGUUGGUAUAGAUUUAGUAUGGUAUUCCUUUUUUUUUUCUGAUCAAUUUGCCUAGUCUCUGUUUACUCUAAAAAGAAUCAUUUUUCCAGCUUGUUAGUGACUUGGAAGAGAACCAAUAUCAUCCUUAUACUGUGAAUCUUAAAAUUUCUCAGACACUACCUUAAAAGGUUAGGGUUAUUCCCCAUUUAAACAAUGGAGGUAAUUGAUCUGGAAUGUAUUGAGAACUUAACCUUACUCCACCCAUACUUAGGUAUACCUUAGGGGAAGAUAAAGUUGUAAAACUCCUUACUGAACAAUGAAAACGUCCCCAACCCAUAUUUAUAGUGAGGCCAAGCCCUUAAGCUAGGUCUAUUUUUAGAUCUAAUACAAAAAGGUGCUAAGUACCUAUGAAGGUCAAAUUAAUCGCUAAAAUGUCAAGCAAGCUUAGCAAGAGGUGUGAGGAUUUAGUCUACACAGAGAAGGUGAUAACAAAAUGUGAAUUAGGUAUGGUCAGUCCUUUGGAAAAUGUCUACUGUGGUUGGUAGAUGUGAAAAUUUAGGGGAUGUGACAUAGGAGAAAAUUCUCUUUAAAAGGAGGUCAGAGGCCUCUGAAGUAAUUCUGCUUUGGAGCUGAAUUGUAGGUCAGGAGUCACAGAAGGCUGCUGGGGGCUCUCUCGGUGGCUGAACUUAGUUCAACUGAACACUAGAGUUUUGCUUGGAAGGAUCUUGUGGUGAGUGAUUAGAGACUGACUUUUCUCUCUUAAGGAGAAAGGCCUAGGCCAUUGGCAUAGGCCUAAGCCCUUUUCCUAUAAUUUCCUCUUACUCUGUCUCUCUCCCUUUCUUUAAUUCCUUAAUUUGUGUUCAUUAAAAUCUCCAUAAAACCCAGCUGACUUGAGUAUUUCAUAUUUGGGAGUUUUUCCUAUGGCAACCACUUUAUUUUUUAAUAUAAAAUCAAGACACAAAAUUAUCUUUACAGUUUUGGCAAUUCAAAGUCUUGAAACCAUAUUUUCGCAACACUGUUUUGUCUGUAACAAUACAUAAUAUAAAUUUUUUGAACACUGUCAUAACCCAUUUACCUUAAACUUUUAGUUCAUAGUACAAGUCAUAAAACACAUUUUCAGUUUUUGUAGACUCAUGCUUGCACGUGGUAUGCUUUGAUAACACUCAAUAUAUAACAAUUUAGUCAAAAACAUUUUCUUUUUUAAGUAGUUAUACCUAUGACAUGUUAAUUACAGAUUAAUCAGAGUCUUGGUGGCCAAAAGUCAUUGUUAAAAUCAUUUUUGAGUCUGCUUUGUUCAAAAAUUUGGAGAUGUUUAUUGUACAAUUGCAUUUGGAAUAAAGACACAUUCUAGAUUUUUUCC